CAUAUCAUGUCAUAACACCGGUUCCUGUAUGGUCACCGAAGUUAAGCAACAUCGAAUCUGGUCAGUACCUAGAUGGGUGACUGCUAGGAAAUUCCAAGUGCUGUAAG